rnacentral:rRNA from 1 species
CCCCGGGCGAAAGGGACCGAAAUCAAGUAGGGAAGUCCGCGAUGCUCUGUGGCGAGAAAAGGCGAAGGUAAGGUGCCCGUACCGCAAACCGACACAGGUAGAUGAGGAGAGAAUCCUAAGGCCAACGGGAGAAAGGUUGUUAAGGAACUCGGCAAAAUUGCCCCGUAACUUCGGGAGAAGGGGCGCCUCCGAAAGGAGGCCGCAGUGAAAAGGCCCAAGCGACUGUUUACCAAAAACACAGGUCUCUGCUAAAUCGAGAGAUGACGUAUAGGGGCUGACGCCUGCCCGGUGCUGGAAGGUUAAGAGGAGAGCUUAGCGCAAGCGAAGGCUUGAAUUUAAGCCCCAGUAAACGGCGGCCGUAACAAUAACGGUCCUAAGGUAGCGAAAUUCCUUGUCAGGUAAGUUCUGACCCGCACGAAUGGCGUAACGAUUUGGGCGCUGUCUCAACAGCCUACCCGGCGAAAUUGUAGUACCGGUGAAGAUGCCGGUUACCCGCAACUAGACGGAAAGACCCCAUGGAGCUUUACUGCAGCUUAAUACUGAGAUUCGGUAAUUCAUGUACAGGAUAGGUGGGAGACUUGGAAACAGGGGCGUCAGCUUCUGCGGAGUCACCCUUGGGAUACCACCCUUGGAUUGCUGGGUUUCUAACCUGCGGCCAUGAAUCUGGUCGGGGGACACUGUUAGGCGGGCAGUUUGACUGGGGCGGUCGCCUCCUAAAAAGUAGCGGAGGCGCUCAAAGCUUGGCUCAGCAUGGAUGGAAAUCAUGCAAUGAGUGUAAACGUAUAAGCCAAGUUGACUGCGAGACCGACGGGUCGAGCAGGGACGAAAGUCGGAGUUAGUGAUCCGGUGGUAUGUGAGUGGAAAUGCCAUCGCUCAACGGAUAAAAGCUACCCUGGGAUAACAGGCUGAUCUCCCCCAAGCGUCCACAGCGACGGGGAGGUUUGGCACCUCGAUGUCGGCUCGUCGCAUCCUCGGGCUGUAUUCGGUCCCAAGGGUUUGGCUGUUCGCCAAUUAAAGCGGCACGCGAGCUGGGUUCAGAACGUCGUGAGACAGUUCGGUCCCUAUCUGUUGCGGGCGUAAGAGAUUUGAAGGGAGCUGUCCUUAGUACGAGAGGACCGGGAUGGACUGACCUCUGGUGCACCAGUUGUUCUGCCAAGGGCAUAGCUGGGUAGCUACGUCGGGACGAGAUAAACGCUGAAGGCAUCUAAGCGUGAAACUCCCCCUAAGAUAAGAUCUCUCAUCCUGAAAAGGAGUAAGGCUCGUCGUAGACUAUGACGUUGAUAGGUCAGGGGUGGAAGCACAGUAAUGUGUGCAGCUGACUGAUACUAAUAAGCCGAGGGCUUGACCGA